AGUGAACGCUGGCGGUAGGCCUAACACAUGCAAGUCGAACGGCAGCACAGUAAGAGCUUGCUCUUACGGGUGGCGAGUGGCGGACGGGUGAGGAAUACAUCGGAAUCUACUUUUUCGUGGGGGAUAACGUAGGGAAACUUACGCUAAUACCGCAUACGACCUACGGGUGAAAGCAGGGGAUCUUCGGACCUUGCGCGAUUGAAUGAGCCGAUGUCGGAUUAGCUAGUUGGCGGGGUAAAGGCCCACCAAGGCGACGAUCCGUAGCUGGUCUGAGAGGAUGAUCAGCCACACUGGAACUGAGACACGGUCCAGACCCCUACGGGAGGCAGCAGUGGGGAAUAUUGGACAAUGGGCGCAAGCCUGAUCCAGCCAUACCGCGUGGGUGAAGAAGGCCUUCGGGUUGUAAAGCCCUUUUGUUGGGAAAGAAAAGCAGCAGGUUAAAACCCCGCUGUUCUGACGGUACCCAAAGAAUAAGCACCGGCUAACUUCGU
rnacentral:rRNA from 1 species